ensembl:lncRNA
CUUACAUUUUUACACUAUACAAUUAUCAGUCUUCUCCAAAGGUGUGAUCUUUAAGCAGCUGCCCUUCGUCUCCUUUGUGCAGACAAUACAAACACUGCAAGCACCGAGGGGAAGGAAUGAUCUCAACAAUUUUCACUAUGGAAAACAGCAGAUGUUUUUGGAUGUUAAAAACAAUCCAUCAUACAGUACAGAGACAGAUCUUCUCACUUCAUCAAAGGUCCGCUGAGAGCUAACAGUCACGUGAAGUGCUGUGCUGUGUCUACAUUCUGAAACAGACAGAGACUGCAAACUCUACAGACACACAAAGACACAAACUCAUCAGAAUAAAGACAAACACACACAAACUGAAGAAAUUAAGAGUCUUUCUCUCUGUUCACUGAGAUCAUCACCUGACAGCAUUUAUUCUGAUAACUCUACUCUCAUGAAAAAUACAACAUCUGUUUAUAAUACUGGUGACGUUAUAAACAAAUGAGCUGAAAUUGUCCUGUACCUGCAGGAACUGGAUGUGAUCCUGUGUGUGUGAAAGCUGCUCCAGCUCAGCGUCUCUCCUCCUCAGAUCAUUGAUCUCCUGCUCCAGUCGCUCCAGUCGUUCUUCAGCUCGACUCACUGCAGUCUUUUCCUGAUCUCUGAUCAGUCGUAUCAGCUCAGAGCGGCUUCUCUCAAUGGAGCGGAUGAGCUCAGUAAAGAUCCUCUCACUGUCCUCCACUGCUGUCUCGUCUUCUGCGUCUCCUUCAGCUGCUUCUG